AGAGUUUGAUCAUGGCUCAGGACGAACGCUGGCGGCGUGCCUAAUACAUGCAAGUCGAGCGGACCAANUAAGAAGCUGGCUAUUCGAAUGGUUAGCGGCGGACGGGUGAGUAACACGUGGGUAACCUGCCCUAUAGACUGGGAUAACUCGCGGAAACGUGAGCUAAUACCGGAUAACACAUCAAAGUGCAUGCUUUGAUGUUGAAAGAUGGUUCUGCUAUCACUAUAGGAUGGGCCCGCGGCGCAUUAGCUAGUUGGUGGGGUAACGGCCUACCAAGGCGACGAUGCGUAGCCGACCUGAGAGGUGUGAUCGGUCCACACUGGGACUGAGACACGGCCCAGACUCCUACGGGAGGCAGCAGUAGGGAAUCUUCCACAAUGGGCGAAAGCCUGAUGUGAGCAACGCCGUCGUGUAGCGAAGAAGGUCUUCGGAUCGUAAAGCUCUGUUGUAAGGG
rnacentral:rRNA from 2 species